rnacentral:lncRNA from 1 species
UCCGCGCUGAUCAUCCCCCCGGGAGUGCGUUUCGCUUCCCUGCGACCGCAUCGCGUGACUCCACGCGUCUUGUGCUCCGACCGCGCUGCCCUCCUCCCGUGAGAACCGGGCCGUUUCUGACGGGUCUAAUUGAACUUCGAUUAAUUAAUUCGAAUUAAAGGUUUUUUUCGAGAGCUUAUUUUGGUCUCUCAAAUUGUCGAGUGGGAAGCCGUUGAUUGUGAAACUAUCUUGUUCCUUGAUUCUUCAGAUAAAAAUAAACAUAAGAUUAUCGUCCAACUAUCAAUCCCGCCGGAAUGAUUCUGAGGCAGAUAUCAUUAAUUCUAAAAAUUCUUUUUUCCCCAAAAAAACUGCGUUAAAGGGGAUUUUUUAAACAAAAGUUACCAAAAUCGGGCAAAAAUUGAGAAUUUUUACUGUUACAGUGCAAUAAUAAGGAAAAUAAGUUUUAGUUCCUGAGAAAUGGAAUCCCCUCGGACGAAGUGCGUGGCAGUGAACUAAUGAUCGUUAUCGGUGAAAAUGAGAACAUCUUAGUGUAGGCCGAAUGCGGUGUUCAAACCCUCGGAACUUACUACCAGAGAUACCCAUUUUGAAAUUAAUGUAAUGACAUUAGACGACAUGAUUCUGUCCGUCAGCGAUAAGAUGGAAGAGGCUUGUUCCAGUCGAGAGACCGGCAAAUGGAUGUCCAGCACAAGCUCCAUUCCAGAUCAAUUUAAGGGGAACUUAUGCCACCGAAAAGAGUCCGUUUCUCCUUUGGAUGAUGACUUCUCGUUACCAGAGAGAAGGGUUCUUACCGGACACAUCUACCCCUUCGCAGUUGUUUUGCGGCUGCGUGUUUUACAGAUCGUGUGUGGUAUUUCGGCGCUCGUGAUGGGAACGGUCGCCUUCAUCGAGGAGAGAGGAGGUUUCAAUCUUGGGCUGGGAGUUCCUGCGGGAGUGACGACCGUCGUAGCAGCAGCGGCGUCGAUCCACACCUCCCGGGGGUUCUCCGGGUACCAGCAGCCGUCGUGCGACCCUCCGCUCUCCCGCUUCCGCUUCCUGGGCCCGUCGAUCCAGGCGGCGAUCCCUUUGACCCUCCUCUGGCUCACGGCCUGCACGCUCAACGUCCUGCUCCUCUUGUUCGCGGUGCGCUCCUUCAUCCACAAGCCGGAGCUCACCGUCCUCGCCUCCGUCCUCCUCACCUUCAGCCUCAUGACCCUCAUCGCCGUCGUCCUCCUCCUCCGCAUCGACAUCAAGUACGACCCCGACUGA